GACGAACGCUGGCGGCGCGCUUAACACAUGCAAGUCGAACGGAAAGGCCUGCUUUCCCUUGUGGAUUGCGGGUACUCGAGUGGCGAACGGGUGAGUAACACGUGAGUGAUCUGCCCCCAACUUGGGUAUAAGCCUGGGAAACUGGGUCUAAUUCCCGAUAGGACUGCAGGGUGGUGCCUGUGGUGGAAAACGAUUUUCUAGUGGUUGGGGAUGAGCUCGCGGCCUAUCAGCUUGUUGGUGGGGUAAUGGCCUACCAAGGCGGCGACGGGUAGCCGGCCUGAGAGGGUGGACGGCCACAUUGGGACUGAGAUACGGCCAAGACUCCGACGGGAGGCAGCAGUGGGGAAUAUUGCACAAUGGGCGGAAGCCUGAGGCAGCGACGCCGCGUGGGGGAUGACGGCCUUCGGGUUGUAAACUCCUUUCGACCGCGAGGAAGCCACCUGGUUGGAAGGGUGGUGACGGUAGUGGUAGAAGAAGCACCGGCUAACUACGUG
rnacentral:rRNA from 1 species